rnacentral:rRNA from 1 species
GGGGAAUUUUGGACAAUGGGGGCAACCCUGAUCCAGCCAUGCCGCGUGAGUGAAGAAGGCCUUCGGGUUGUAAAGCUCUUUCGCAAGGGAAGAAAACGUGUGGGCUAAUAUCCUGCGCGGAUGACGGUACCUUGACAAGAAGCACCGGCUAACUACGUGCCAGCAGCCGCGGUAAUACGUAGGGUGCGAGCGUUAAUCGGAAUUACUGGGCGUAAAGCGUGCGCAGGCGGUUUUGUAAGACAGGCGUGAAAUCCCCGGGCUCAACCUGGGAACUGCGCUUGUGACUGCAAGACUAGAGUACGGCAGAGGGGGGUGGAAUUCCACGUGUAGCAGUGAAAUGCGUAGAGAUGUGGAGGAACACCAAUGGCGAAGGCAGCCCCCUGGGCCUGUACUGACGCUCAUGCACGAAAGCGUGGGGAGCAAACA